GGAAACGGGGAGCGUACUGCCUAGCCACCGAGAAGCGCAGCUGGACGCGCUUUCGUCACAUGGUUACAAGCUGGAUACCGAGGCAACGUACGCGCAUGCGCGUUUUGUUCUCUGCGAGCUCAUCUCGAGAUUACCGGAAAUUUAUUUUGCAACACUCAUGAAGAUUUCAGACCUUCUAGAAGAAGAUGCUGACCCCAAGGAUGCAAAGGGAUCUAGAGGUUGAGCCAGCUCCAGUUGGAUCUCACAUCAUGAAGAUUUUAAUCGAUGCUUAAAAAAGAUUCCCAUCAAUGAACAUUUAAAGGCUCUGACAUGGAGGAGUUGGUGUUGGAUCUGUAACUAUCUCAGAUGUUGGGCUAUUUUAUGGUGCUUAGGUGCGCCUGGUAAAACUGACUGUAUAAGAAUUUAGAGAGGACAUUACUCAUAAUCACACACUAUGGUUCUCAUGAUUCUUCUCAUUUUUGGGUGUUUGUAAUGUUUUAUUGAUUUAUAAUCACCAUUAUGGUGUCACCCAAAUGAAUACUGGUGCACAUUUUGAAUAAGAAACACAAUGAAUGGACAUGAGCUUAGUGUAAAACUGUACUUUGGUCAGAUGAAUACAAAUUUGAGAUUUUUUUGUUUUUAA